UACGAAGGGGGCUAGCGUUGUUCGGAAUUACUGGGCGUAAAGCGCGCGCAGGCGGUUUUUCAAGUCAGUGGUGAAAGCCCGGAGCUCAACUCCGGAACUGCCAUUGAAACUGGCGAACUUGAGUACGAGAGAGGUGAGUGGAAUUCCCAGUGUAGAGGUGAAAUUCGUAGAUAUUGGGAAGAACACCGGUGGCGAAGGCGGCUCACUGGCUCGUAACUGACGCUCAGGCGCGACAGCGUGGGGAUCAAACAGG
rnacentral:rRNA from 1 species